rnacentral:rRNA from 1 species
UACGUAGGGGGCAAGCGUUGUCCGGAUUUACUGGGCGUAAAGAGCGUGUAGGCGGCCAAGCAGGUCCGUUGUGAAACUAGGAGGCUUAACCUCCAGACGUCGACGGAAACCGCGCGGCUAGAGUCCGGAAGAGGAGAGUGGAAGUUCCUGGAUGUGAUGACGGCUGGAAAGUGAACUGCGACAGAAUUCAAGGGGAAAAGGAAA